rnacentral:rRNA from 1 species
UGCCAGACUCCUACGGGAGGCAGCAGUGGGGAAUAUUGGGCAAUGGGCGCAAGCCUGACCCAGCAACGCCGCGUGAAGGAAGAAGGCUUUCGGGUUGUAAACUUCUUUUGUCAGGGACGAAGCAAGUGACGGUACCUGACGAAUAAGCCACGGCUAACUACGUGCCAGCAGCCGCGGUAAUACGUAGGUGGCAAGCGUUAUCCGGAUUUAUUGGGUGUAAAGGGCGUGUAGGCGGGCCGGCAAGUCAGAUGUGAAAUCCCAAGGCUCAACCUUGGAACUGCAUUUGAAACUGUUGGUCUUGAGUAUCGGAGAGGCAGGCGGAAUUCCUAGUGUAGCGGUGAAAUGCGUAGAUAUUAGGAGGAACACCAGUGGCGAAGGCGGCCUGCUGGACGACAACUGACGGUGAGGCGCGAAAGCGUGGGGAGCAAACAGGAUUAGAUACCCGAGUACA